CCUUGUCUCGCGGGGUGCCCGAAUGGGCUGAGAGGCGUGCAAGCCAACCCGUCGAACCUGAUCCGGAUCGUACCGGCGGAGGGAUCGAGAUGACGGCGUUGA
rnacentral:ncRNA from 2 species